rnacentral:lncRNA from 1 species
ACUAUCUGAUGUCAUAAUACACCCCUCUGAUAAUCAAGUGAUAUUUGGAAUGUCUGAGUAGUUCUAUCUGAUGUCAUAAUACACACCUCUGAUAAUCAAGUGCUAUUUGCAUGUGAUACAUUUGCUCUCUUGUUUACAGCGGGGUUGGGAAAUUCCAGUCCUCGAGGGCCUGAUUAGUGUCACAGUUUUACCCCAGCCCCAGCUAACACACCAGACUCCAAUAAUCACCAAAUCAUGCUCUUCAGUUUAGAAUGCAGUUUGAUUAAUCAGCUGUGUUUGUUAGGGAUGGAGAAAAAGUGUGGUUUACAGGAUGAUUUGUAUCUUAAAGAGCGUAGCUUUCAGGGAAGAGUACCGUCACAUCUAGAUAAAAACUAGAUAAAAACGAAUGUAAAUAAUUGAACAGAGCAAAUGUGUAUUAACACACUACCUAUUCAUAGAAGUAUUUAUUCAUCAUCUACAUGUUCAUAUUAAGCUUCUACGUCUGUGUACAGGACGGAAGAGAAAAUAUAUCAGCUUAUUGUUAAAUUAUUAUGACGUUCUUUCCAAUACAAUAAGUGUCGUAACUAUUGUUUCCAAACUGCGUCACCCACUCCAGUCAGCAGAUGGCGAUGAGCGUCUUUCCGGUGAUGCUACUUGCGUGACGUAUAAUGGACUGGACGGACGCUUCUUCAGGAACAGCUUCUCUUCUCUUUCAACCACCUCGGUAGCUUGCUAGCCAACAUAAAACUGAAACAUUGACGCUUUAGACCAUGUUAAUGUACAUGAGCUAAUCUCAGUGUUGUACACACAGUUCAGUUGACGUGUCAACUGGUUAACUUUAACCUAAUUUGCUUGUUUAAUUUGCAAACGRGUUAAAGAUUGAUACUGAGGUUAGCACUAGGCUAGUCGCUAAUGCUAACUAGCUAACAUCCCUGAUCAUGAGUUCACUAAACUACUCCUCCCUUGCUAAAGAAGAGGAGGUCUGCUGUAUGGAGAAUGAAGCUCUGGGACUGAACAUUGUCGUGGAAGAUGAAGAUGAUGUUAUUGAGGAAACAGAGGAAGAACCUUUUAGAGAGGAAGAGGAUGCUGUCUCAAUAAAGGUGAAGGAGGAAGACGUCUUGGGAGUGAAAGAGGGGGAGACAGAAUAUCAGAUUAACACCAGCCCUGUUCACACAGGAGAGAUACAUGACUAUGGUGGAUCCUCUGGGAAGAAGCCUCAACAACAUCCUGAUGCUGACGAGUCCGAGAAGAGUCUCUGAUGUAAACUUCUGACCCACUGAAUUGUGGUAGGCAGUGAAUAGGAUUAUAGUGAAAU